UGCGUAGGGUGCAAGCGUUGUCCGGAAUUAUUGGGCGUAAAGAGCGCGUAGGCGGUCCGAUAAGUCGGCUGUGAAAGUCAGGGGCUCAACCCUUGAAAGCCGGCCGAUACUGUCGGACUAGAGUCCGGAAGAGGCGAGUGGAAUUCCUGGUGUAGCGGUGAAAUGCGCAGAUAUCAGGAGGAACACCAAUUGCGAAGGCAGCUCGCUGGGACGUAACUGACGCUGAGACGCGAAAGCGUGGGGAGCAAACAGG
rnacentral:rRNA from 1 species